ensembl:misc_RNA Metazoa_SRP Metazoan signal recognition particle RNA
GCCAGAUGUGGUGGUGCGUGCCUGUAGUCCCAGCUACUUGGGAGGCUGAGGUGGGAGGAUCACUUGAGCCUAGGAGUUUGAGGUUGCAGUGAGCCAUAACAUGCCACUGCAAUCUAGCCUGGGCGACAGAGCGAGACCUUCUCUCUC